AGAGUUUGAUCCUGGCUCAGGACGAACGCUGGCGGCGCGCCUAACACAUGCAAGUCGAACGAGCGAGAGAGAGCUUGCUUUCUCGAGCGAGUGGCGAACGGGUGAGUAACGCGUGAGGAACCUGCCUCAAAGAGGGGGACAACAGUUGGAAACGACUGCUAAUACCGCAUAAGCCCACGGGUCGGCAUCGACCAGAGGGAAAAGGAGCAAUCCGCUUUGAGAUGGCCUCGCGUCCGAUUAGCUAGUUGGUGAGGUAACGGCCCACCAAGGCAACGAUCGGUAGCCGGACUGAGAGGUUGAACGGCCACAUUGGGACUGAGACACGGCCCAGACUCCUACGGGAGGCAGCAGUGGGGAAUAUUGCACAAUGGGGGAAACCCUGAUGCAGCGACGCCGCGUGGAGGAAGAAGGUCUUCGGAUUGUAAACUCCUGUUGUUGAGGAAGAUAAUGACGGUACUCAACAAGGAAGUGACGGCUAACUACGUGCCAGCAGCCGCGGUAAAACGUAGGUCACAAGCGUUGUCCGGAAUUACUGGGUGUAAAGGGAGCGCAGGCGGGAAGACAAGUUGGAAGUGAAAUCCAUGGGCUCAACCCAUGAACUGCUUUCAAAACUGUUUUUCUUGAGUAGUGCAGAGGUAGGCGGAAUUCCCGGUGUAGCGGUGGAAUGCGUAGAUAUCGGGAGGAACACCAGUGGCGAAGGCGGCCUACUGGGCACCAACUGACGCUGAGGCUCGAAAGUGUGGGUAGCAAACAGGAUUAGAUACCCUGGUAGU
rnacentral:rRNA from 1 species